AUUGAACGCUGGCGGCAGGCCUAACACAUGCAAGUCGAGCGGAGCGGCGGACGGGUGCGUAAUGCCUAGGAAUCUGCCUGGUAGUGGGGGAUAACGUCCGGAAACGGGCGCUAAUACCGCAUACUAUCAGCCGAGACUAGGUCGGAUUAGCUAGGUGGGGGGGUAAAGGACUACCAAGGCGACGAUCCGUAACUGGGCUGAGUGGAGAAUCAGUCACACCGGAACUGAGACACGGUCCAGUCUCCUACGGUAGGCAGGGUUGGGGAAUAUAUGACAAUGGGCGAAAGCCUGAUCGAGCCAUGCCGCGUGUGUGAAGAAGGUCUUCGGAUUGUAAAGCAAUUUAAGUUGGAUGGCGUUAUUAACAGAAUAAGCACCGGCUAACUUCGUGCCAGCAGCCGCGGUAAUUC
rnacentral:rRNA from 1 species